AGAAUGGGAUGGGAGCUGUUGUGGCCAUCUUUGGAAAAUAUAAAAUGUCACUGAGGGGGAAGGUACAUGUAAGAACUAUGCUCUGCCUCCUUUUUCCUCUUGCCAGUUGGAGCCAAAUCAUUCAGAUUUCCAGAUUGUGAGGAAUCCUUCAGCCCCCGUGGUAUAGCCACUGACACACUAUCCAGCUGCCACAGUUGUGGGUGUUGAACCCUACCCUUACCCUUAGGCCUUCGGUGGAACCACGUGGAUCUCCCCGGGGCCUCCAGGAGGAGAAACGUGCUCUGUCUCCUUGGCCAGGAAAGCACACCCAUCAGCUCAGCAUGAAGACUUGCUAAGGAAAAGGUACAGCUGGGAACGCGAAGCUGUCCAUGCCUGGAGAUGACUCCAGCAUCCAGGAGGUGGGGCUGGCCUCUUACCUGGGUACACUGUCU
rnacentral:lncRNA from 1 species